rnacentral:tRNA from 1 species
GCCAGUGUGGCAUAGUGGUUUGAGUGUUGGGCUGUGACUCUGGAGACCAGGGUUUUAUUCCCUGCUCAGCCG